GCGCCUCCCUCCUUUGGCUGGGUUUGCUCGCUCCGCGUCCCUUCCCCUAGAUUUUGCACCGGCAGCUGUCAGAGCGAGUUCGGCUUGCUUGCAAAGCCCGAAAGGGGAACCGCACCGCCGCAAGCAGUGCUGGGUGAUCUCCCUCCCUCCCUCCCUCCCUCCGGGUCACUCUUCAGUUUGCAAACUGCAGCCGCCUGCCUCGGAGUCUGUUUUGCAGCACACAAGCAAGCCUUUGCAGCCCGAAUUGCAUCUCUUCGCCGCCGGUGGUAGGGGGGACGAAGACGGGACGGCCCUGAGUGCAGGAGCCACACUGGCCCUGCAGGGGAGAGGGAGGCUCUUUUGCGAAACGUCUCUGCGCUCAGAUUAUUUGUAUUAUUCGCUUUGUCGAUGCACCUUCCCGCUUUCGCCCUUCGGGCACGCUGACUCAGAGGACAUGCCCAGCUCCUGCUGCGCGAAGGGAAGGAAACUUUUCCAGCCGCCGAGAAGCUCCGGCUGUUUCUGAAUCGGCGGAGUCCCUGCAGCGUUACCUUCCCACCUGGCCAGAUUCCUCACCGGUUUCCAAUGACUCCGUUGGUGGACACCGAGGAGAGGGGCCUUGUUUUGCCUCUUCCCUCACCCAUCCCUUGCCCUUGAGGAGCCAGGCAGCCACGGUGGUCCUCAGGCUUCUGCCUUCUUGUGACAUCCCUCUGGCCCUUUGUGUCCAAAGGCUUGGGGGGAGGGGAAACCCCCAAACAAGACUAGGAGCUGAAAAGCUCAUCUGCUGGUGGAGGUGAGGAAGGCUGGGCGGAGGAGCCCAUCUUGAGAGACCUUGCUGAGCAGGUGCCAGUGGGCCUCUUCUCCCCUCAUUGAGUUGGGAGGGACGUCAGAGAGAUGGGCAGCACUGCCAUGGACACGAAGAAGAAAGAUGCAUCUUCCAGCAGCAAGAAAAGCUCUAGCCAGAAGAAGCGCAUGUUGCGAGUUCACAUCCCAGAUCUCAGCUCAUUUGCUAUGCCAUUCCUGGAUGGAGAUGUGGACAGUGCUGAGAAACAUGCGUCGCGAAAGGCAGAAGACAGCUGCAGCACGGGCAGCCCUUCCAAAGGACUUUUCUCAAAGGGGCUCCAUAGCCGGCCUUCCAGCCCAGCCUCUGCCCCUGUCAAAUCUAAACAUAGUCCGAGCUCGCCCAAAACAGUGUUCCCUUUCCCAUACCAAGAAUCACCCCCUCGCUCCCCUCGGCGCAUGAGUUUCAGUGGGAUCUUCAGGUCCUCCUCCAAAGAUUCUUCCUCUCCCAGCUCUAACCCAUCUACUUCCCCCGGUGGUAUCAAGUUCUUCUCCAGAUCAAGAAAAACCUCUGGCCUCUCCUCCUCUCCCUCAACCCCGACACAAGUGAUCAAGCAGCCGACAUUUCCACUUGAAUCCUACAAGCAUGAACCAGAGAGGCUAGAAACGCGGAUUCACACAUCCUCUCCCCCCCCAGAUACAGGCCAGAGAUCCAGCCUGCCCCCAGGACAAAGUGUGGCCAAACUCCUUACUCCCACCCCUUGUGCUUCCUCAAAAGCAGCAGCAGCUCCUCAGUCCCCGGCCGCCUCUGAAGGGAUGCUGGAGAAACUGGAGCUCGAGGAUGAAGCUAUUGGUGAAUCAGAAAGUGAUAUCUACAUGCGGUUCAUGAGGUCACAUAAGUGUUAUGAUAUUGUUCCAACAAGCUCAAAGCUUGUGGUCUUUGACACUACACUACAGGUAAAGAAAGCUUUCUUUGCCUUGGUGGCAAAUGGUGUUCGAGCGGCUCCUCUGUGGGAGAGUAAAAAACAAAGCUUUGUAGGAAUGCUAACUAUUACAGAUUUCAUUAAUAUAUUGCAUAGAUACUAUAAGUCUCCAAUGGUUCAAAUUUAUGAAUUGGAGGAGCACAAGAUUGAAACAUGGAGGGAGCUUUACCUACAAGAAACCUUUAAGCCUUUAGUGAAUAUUUCACCGGAUGCAAGCCUUUUUGAUGCUGUGUAUUCACUGAUCAAAAACAAAAUCCAUAGAUUGCCAGUUAUCGACCCUGUGAGCGGAAAUGCACUUUAUAUACUUACCCAUAAAAGAAUCCUCAAGUUUCUCCAGCUUUUUCUCAAAGCAUCCCCUCCAGUGCAAGACGUGUGGGCCUUAAUGCUAGAAGUGUCAGAAAUGCCAAAGCCUGCCUUUAUGAAGAAAAAUCUGGAUGAACUUGGGAUAGGAACAUAUCACAACAUCGCCUUUAUACACCCAGACACUCCUAUCAUUAAAGCUUUGAAUAUAUUUGUAGAUAGAAGGAUAUCGGCACUACCUGUUGUGGAUGAGUCAGGAAAAGUUGUAGAUAUAUAUUCCAAAUUUGAUGUGAUAAAUCUUGCUGCUGAAAAAACUUACAAUAACUUAGAUAUCACAGUGACACAAGCCCUUCAACACCGCUCUCAGUAUUUUGAAGGUGUUCUGAAAUGCAGUAAGCUGGAAACACUGGAGACCAUUGUGGAUCGGAUAGUUAAAGCUGAGGUGGGUAUGACUGUUCAAAUACAAGAGAAGAGGAGCUCUAAGGUACCUGGCUGGUUCAUCGAUUGGUGGUAGUGAAUGAAGUAGAUAGUAUUGUUGGUAUAAUCUCUCUCUCUGACAUCCUACAAGCAUUAGUGCUCACGCCAGCUGGUGCCAAACAAAAGGAAAGUGAAACUGAAUGAUUGCUGUGAGCAUAUAAACGCUUGUAGAAGAACUUGAAUGAUGUUACUGGGUCAUCUUUGCCUCAAGAACAUUGGCGGCACUAGAGAAGAGAAAAAUUGUGAUGAGUAUGUGUGUAUUGGGACUGAGUGUUGGGUAACUAGUAUAUUACUUCCCAGUGACUGUCGCAAAAAAAGCAGCAUGUCAAAAAGCUUAUGUAUUAAAUACAGGCUUGCAUUUAAAAUGUUUGCUGAAAGACUUCACAUGAUGUCCUUCAUCUAAAAUGCACUGUAUCCUGAAAACAGACAUCUUUUGUAUUUGAUAGAAGUCACUGCUCAGCAACAGAUCUCCGACAUAAGGCAAGUGUAUGGCAUAUUCAUAUCAUAGUGCCUUAUGUCAAAAAGCCAACAAUAUGUCAUCGCUGUUGCCCAUCACAAUAAGAGGAAGUAUUGUGUGAAACAAAACACUGUAUUUGAAUGUUCAAGUCGCUAAACCUAAAACCAAAUCAAUUUCGGUUAUCAUUAGAUUUGUCAUAAAAGCUGUAAUUUGAAAGUAUUGAAAGUAGAUUACUUUAAAACUUUAAUGACAAUUUCUGUGUGUUUAUAAAUGUUGCAUUCUGAACAGAGAUGGUAAAACAAGACUGAUCUAAAACCAGCUUUAUUUAUUUUUCUUUUCUUGCAAUUUUUUACACAUCUUUGGUGGAUAGCUAAAACUUCACCAUAUUCAUUAAUAAAACAUUGAUUGUUAUAUAAGAAGAUCUCUCAUUACUAAACCCAGUGGUGCAAACCAUUAGGCUGUAAAGAUGGGUUAUACCCACAAAAACCAGGAGUUUAUCAAAUAUAUUAUCACUAGACACAUCUGGCAUAUGUCCAGAAAGGAGAAACAAAAAAAAAGUAGCCUACUGUCCUGGGCAACCCCAUUAAAUUCAGAUUCAAAUUCACUGG